rnacentral:rRNA from 1 species
UACGAAGGGGGCUAGCGUUGCUCGGAAUUACUGGGCGUAAAGCGCACGUAGGCGGCUUUCUAAGUCGGGGGUGAAAUCCUGGAGCUCAACUCCAGAACUGCCUUCGAUACUGGAAAGCUCGAGUCCGGGAGAGGUGAGUGGAACUGCGAGUGUAGAGGUGAAAUGCGUAGAUAUCUGGAGGAACACCGGUGGCGAAGGCGGCAUCCUGGACCAAUAUUGACGCUGAGGAGCGAAAGCCAGGGGAGCAAACGGG